rnacentral:rRNA from 1 species
AUUGAACGCUGGCGGCAUGCCUUACACAUGCAAGUCGAACGGCAGCACGGGGGCAACCCUGGUGGCGAGUGGCGAACGGGUGAGUAACAUAUCGGAACGUGCCCUGGAGUGGGGGAUAACUAGUCGAAAGACUAGCUAAUACCGCAUACGAUCUACGGAUGAAAGUGGGGGAUCGCAAGACCUCAUGCUCGUGGAGCGGCCGAUAUCUGAUUAGCUAGUUGGUGGGGUAAAGGCCUACCAAGGCAUCGAUCAGUAGCUGGUCUGAGAGGACGACCAGCCACACUGGGACUGAGACACGGCCCAGACUCCUACGGGAGGCAGCAGUGGGGAAUUUUUGGACAAUGGGCGCAAGCCUGAUCCAGCAAUGCCGCGUGAGU